rnacentral:lncRNA from 1 species
CCAGAGAAGACCUUGUCACUGUGCAGUUCCUGCUCAGCAAUAUCUGUAACACUAGUUUGAGCUUCUGCUAUUGUGGUUGUUUUGGCCACAGGUCUAAACCAUUGCACCACACAGGAAAGCUGGGAAGAAAAUUAACUCCAUCUCAGGCAGUGUCAGUACACACAGAUGGAAGGAGAUCACAACAGGGAUGAAGAGUGGAGAGACAAAAAUCACAGACUACACAUCAGAAAAUGACAUGCUUCAAACCAACAGAGUAACAAUCACCAUUGUGCAGCACUGCUCCAUGGUUUUUUACUUUUACACUGAGGACUGGAGUUUGGCCUUGGAAGC